rnacentral:tRNA from 1 species
GGCGGAGUAGCUCAGCUGGUUAGAGCACCGGAAUCAUAAUCCGGGUGUCGGGAGUUCAAGUCUCUCCUCCGCUACCA